UGGGGAAUAUUGCACAAUGGGCGCAAGCCUGAUGCAGCCAUGCCGCGUGUAUGAAGAAGGCCUUCGGGUUGUAAAGUACUUUCGGUCGGGAGGAAGGUGGUAAGGUUAAUAACCUUAUCAAUUGACGUUACCGACAGAAGAAGCACCGGCUAACUCCGUGCCAGCAGCCGCGGUAAUACGGAGGGUGCAAGCGUUAAUCGGAAUUACUGGGCGUAAAGCGCACGCAGGCGGUUGAUUGAGUCAGAUGUGAAAUCCCCGGGCUUAACCCGGGAAUUGCAUCUGAUACUGGUCAGCUAGAGUCUUGUAGAGGGGGGUAGAAUUCCAUGUGUAGCGGUGAAAUGCGUAGAGAUCUGGAGGAAUACCGGUGGCGAAGGCGGCCCCCUGGACGAAGACUGACGCUCAGGUGCGAAAGCGUGGGGAGCAAACAGG
rnacentral:rRNA from 1 species